rnacentral:lncRNA from 1 species
GUGAGACACGCUGCCAUCUGGAUUCUGUGGGGCAAUAGCAAUUAGCAACUGACCACUGACGCCACUAGAAUUUCUUCCAACGGCCUAAAUUGCUAUUACCCCCCAGAAUUCUGGGGGGCAAUAGAUUUUACCAAUAGGUGUGACCUAGGCCAUAGAAUUGCGACGUAGAAGAAGAGAAUCAAUUAGAUUGUUUAAUGGCGUAGGUUUUCGUAGUUUUCGACGCGAUGUGUGUUAAUUGGUGGAGAAACAUUGUCGUAAUCGGAUAUCGGAACGGAUUUCCAUAAUGUACACGUGUUGUAACCGACCAGCACAAAAUUGAUACAUUUUUUUUCAUUUAUCACAAAUUGUUAUCAGCAGCAUUUCCACUCUAUAGCAGCAGAAGCCAAGCUGUUCAGUCAACGGAAGACCAUUGUAAUUGCAGUUAAUGAGAUACAACAACUUUGUUGCCAAUAACAACAUGCUGCAUUUAUUUUUGUCCACAGCCAAAAUAAAUUGCAACUUCUUUCACAGGAGUAACACAUUGUGUGGUUUAAGUUGUUAGCUACCAUAGUCUCCUGAUAGUUUGAGUCUGACAAUAAGCAAUACCAUAUUGUUAUUUGUUUCUUCCCUUUGCAGAGAUGUUAGCUUGUUGUGAUUUUAGACCACGGUAUAGACUGAGCCUUUGUAUCUGUGUCAAACCAGUUACAUCAACUCACUUGUUGUUGACACCCCUGGAGAUAUUACCAAACUUUCGAAAUGGUUGAAGCAGGCACCCAUAAUAUGUCGAUUCAAUUUCAGUGCUAUCACUAAUUGAUGGACUGAAUAAUGUCAGAUUGCCAAAAAAAACAAACACUGGAACCCUUCUGCAUGACUUUGAACCACAAGAUAUUGAUCUUUUUUACAUUCGCCUUUGGGUUGAACGGUAAAGAGUUUCACGGUUCACUGUUUUAUCCGAAAAUCGUAUAUCCACGAAAUGUUGGCAUCAUUGGUCUAUGAACAGAUAUGCUGAUGACUGAAAUCAAUUGUAUCAGCUGAAAACAUAUGUUGAGACAUCUAUGCAACUUUGUACUUGGAUAUGUGUCAUUCCACUGGUAGUGGCUAAAGAAUCAAACUUGGAAUCGCGUGUCUUCAACCAACUCACCUCAUCUAGGCCUGACCAGUAUCGGACCGAAGAAAGUAGUCAACUAGUCACACGUCAGAUAACAAAUCCUGCUAAGUAAACCAUAUGAUAAGGAAGUGAACUCAAUCAUUCGAACGUGAGUCUAAUGGUCUAAUGAAAAAUAAGGAUUCAUUUGGUUACCGACUUGACCUGCAAGAGGAUUUUAGCCAUAUCGGAUAUCGGAAAGGAACACCUUUACCGAACAUAAUGUUCUUCUAACGUAAAUUAUUGGAUGCUCAUUCUAUGUCGGAUUCAGAUUUCAUUUAGAAAUCCUGGUAGAAGCUUUUAAUUUAUAAGACCAUAGAAGGAUUGCACACACUAAUGUUUUAAAGUUAAUAAACGUUAUAAAUGGAAAAUGGGGUUUCAGAAUGAGGCGAGAGUUUUUGUCAAUGCUGAAGUUUGGAAACACGAUCGGAAAUACCCAUGAAAUGAAAAACAUUCUCUCACGUUAUGGUAUUUGUCGUACAUAAAUUAAAGUGCAUAUCUGGGCUCCCUUCUUUUCUGUGGCCCCGUUUCCCCUUGACUCGUAAUAAGCCCGUAGGGGGUCACGCCCCUACUGUACGGUAUAUAUAAAAACAACAUAUAUCGAGGUUUGGAGGGCU